rnacentral:rRNA from 1 species
AUUGAACGCUGGCGGCAUGCUUUACACAUGCAAGUCGAACGGUAACAGGGUGCUUGCACCGCUGACGAGUGGCGAACGGGUGAGUAAUGCGUCGGAACGUGCCGAGUAGUGGGGGAUAACGCAGCGAAAGUUGUGCUAAUACCGCAUACGUACUGAGGUAGAAAGUGGGGGACCUUCGGGCCUUACGCUAUUCGAGCGGCCGACGUCUGAUUAGCUAGUAGGUGAGGUAAAGGCUCACCUAGGCGACGAUCAGUAGCGGGUCUGAGAGGAUGAUCCGCCACACUGGGACUGAGACACGGCCCAGACUCCUACGGGAGGCAGCAGUGGGGAAUUUUGGACAAUGGGCGAAAGCCUGAUCCAGCCAUGCCGCGUGUCUGAAGAAGGCCUUCGGGUUGUAAAGGACUUUUGUCAGGGAGGAAAUCCCUAGUGCUAAUAACACUGGGGGAUGACAGUACCUGAAGAAUAAGCACCGGCUAACUACGUGCCAGCAGCCGCGGUAA